rnacentral:rRNA from 1 species
UACGUAGGGCGCAAGCGUUGUCCGGAAUUAUUGGGCGUAAAGAGCUCGUAGGCGGUUUGUCGCGUCUGCUGUGAAAACCUAAGGCUCAACCUUGGGCUUGCAGUGGGUACGGGGCAGACUAGAGUGCGGUAGGGGGUGACUGGAAUUCCUGGUGUAGCGGUGGAAUGCGCAGAUAUCAGGAGGAACACCGAUGGCGAAGGCAGGUCACUGGGCCGCAACUGACGCU